rnacentral:lncRNA from 1 species
UUGUCAUUUUUCUUCUUCUCAUUUUUUCAAUUUGAAGUCGAUUUUGCUAUGUAUCGCCUGUUCUCUUUGUUCUUUUGCCAUUCUUUUUUUCUCAUUUCAUCAAUUUUGGAAUCAAUUUUUUGCUAGGACAUUGAAAAAACUACUAAGGAAUUAAUGUUUCAGACAUAUUAUCAAACACCACAUGUGCAUCAAUGUGAAAAUCAUAUACCAACAUAGCAUGCAUAUUGAAUAUACAAUACGAAAACUAUAGUUCAAAAUAAAUAUUUCCAGAAAUUUCAAGGAAUCAAAAUUUGUAAAUGAAUUGCAUGCGUAUUUUACCUUUUUAAUAACUGUAAAAACUAGGGGUGUACAUAGGUCGGGUUGGUUCAAUUUUUACUAAAAUAAAAUCAAACCAAUCAUGUCGGUUUAUUAAAACUAUAAACCAAAUCAAACCAACAAAAAAUUUAUUUUUUCGGUUUAGGUUUUAGUCGUUUUUUUUGGAUUUUCGAUUCUUUCGGUUUUUUCGAUUUCUUUUUUGUAAUCUUUAGUUUUUAUAAUUAUAUUAUGAUCGAAAACUAGAUUAAAUAUGUUUUCACUCAUGUUCUAAUGAAAAAUCAUAAUUAUGAAAAAAUGAGAAGUGGAAAACUCUCUUGAAACUAAAAAGUGAGAUGAAGAGUGAAAAAUUUAGGUUUUAAGUUUAUAUUGGAUUUUUGAUCAUUUAAUUAGCAAUUAAUGGACAAAUAUUACAACUUAAAGACUCAGCUCUAAAUAUAUAUCUACACCUACUUUCAAAUUAUUGACAAUUACUAAAACUAGUUGAAAAAGUAGAUUAUAAUUAAUUUUUUAUGUCGGUUUGAUUUGGGUUCGGUUUAACUUUUUUUUUGUUAACACCAAACUAAACCAAGAAUGGUUGGUUUUUUUUGUCUAAUGUCAAACCAAUCAAACCAAAUCAUAAGUCGAAUUUUUUUCUCGAUUUGAUUUGGUUCGUCGGUUCGAUUUAACUUGACGGUUUAGUCUGUAUACUCCUAGUAAAAACUAACCAAAUUCUCUAACCAUCGACUGUGAAAUCUGGUUAAAUUGUGGUCACUGAUUGAAGUAGACGAUGCGACUAACAAAUAUCUGUGCAAAAACUUCAAAAACCAACAAUCACAGAUGCUAUUGAAGCCCCAUUAUCAGCAAAAUUGAUGAAUUAGACGAAGAAAUAUAAAUGAAAACUUACCUGAACUAAAAAAUACAGUACAUAUCUAGACAAAUUGAAAAGUAGAGAAUAAAAUUCAUUUGCUCCNNNN